rnacentral:rRNA from 1 species
GAUGAACGCUGACAGAAUGCUUAACACAUGCAAGUCGAUGGGGAAGUGGUGCUUGCACCAUGGCAACCAUGGCGGACGGGUGAGUAACGCGUAAGGGACUUACCUGCAGGACUGGGAUAACAGGGGGAAACUCCUGACAAGACCGGAUAAUGUCAUGGAGCUGCAUGGCUUUAUGAUGAAAGGAGACGCCUGCGGAGAGCCUUGCGUCCUAUUAGCUAGUUGGUGAGGUAAUGGCUCACCAAGGCGAAGAUAGGUAGCCGGCCUGAGAGGGUGGACGGCCACAAGGGGACCGAGAUACGGCCCUUACUCCUACGGGAGGCAGCAGUGGGGAAUAUUGGACAAUGGGGGCAACCCUGAUCCAGCAAUUCUGUGUGCACGAAGAAGGUUUUCGGAUUGUAAAGUGCUUUCAGCAGGGAAGAAGUAAGUGACGGUACCUGCAGAAGAAGCGACGGCUAAAUACGUG